rnacentral:rRNA from 1 species
AACGAACGCUGGCGGCAUGCCUAACACAUGCAAGUCGAACGCCUGUAGCAAUACAGGAGUGGCAGACGGGUGAGUAACACGUAGGAAUCUACCCAGUAGCUCGGAAUAACCGCGGGAAACUGCGGCUAAUACCGGAUACGCCCCACGGGGGAAAGGAGCAAUCCACUAUUGGAGGAGCCUGCGUCCGAUUAGCUAGUUGGCGGGGUAACGGCCCACCAAGGCGACGAUCGGUAGCUGGUUUGAGAGAACGACCAGCCACACUGGGACUGA